rnacentral:rRNA from 1 species
UCGUAGGCUGCAACCCGCCUGCGUGAAGUUGGAAUUGCUAGUAAUCGCGGAUCAGCAUGCCGCGGUGAAUACGUUCCCGGGCCUUGUACACACCGCCCGUCACACCAUGGAAGUCGGUAAUGCCCGAAGUCAGUAGCCUAACCGCAAGGAGGGCGCUGCCGAAGGCAGGAUUGAUGACUGGGGUGAAGUCGUAACAAGGUAGC